rnacentral:rRNA from 1 species
GAUUAACGCUAGCGGCAGGCCUAAUACAUGCAAGUCGAACGGCAGCACGGGUAGCAAUACCUGGUGGCGAGUGGCGCACGGGUGCGUAACGCGUAUGCAACCUACCUAUAACUGGGGAAUAGCCUUCUGAAAGGAAGAUUAACACCGCAUAAUACCACGAGACGGCAUCGCCUUGUGAUCAAAUCUUCGGAGGUUAUAGAUGGGCGUGCGUGACAUUAGCUAGUUGGAGAGGUAACGGCCCACCAAGGCUACGAUGUCUAGGGGGUCUGAGAGGAUGAUCCCCCACACUGGUACUGAGACACGGACCAGACUCCUACGGGAGGCAGCAGUAAGGAAUAUUGGACAAUGGGCGCAAGCCUGAUCCAGCCAUGCCGCGUGAAGGAUGACGGCCCUCUGGGUUGUAAACUUCUUUUAUACGGGAAUAAACCCCUCGAUUCUUCGAGGGCUGAAUGUACUGUAAGAAUAAGGAUCGGCUAACUUCGUGCCAGCAGCCGCCGCGG